GACGAACCGAGCGAACGUUAUUCGGAAUAACUGGGCUUAAAGGGCGCGUAGGCGGGCCAUCAAGUCGAGGGUGAAAGCCCCCAGCUCAACUGGGGAAGUGCCUCCGAUACUGGUGGUCUCGAGGGAGAUAGGGGCGUGCGGAACUUCCGGUGGAGCGGUGAAAUGCGUAGAUAUCGGAAGGAACACCGGUGGCGAAAGCGGCGCGCUGGAUCUCUUCUGACGCUGAGGCGCGAAAGCCAGGGGAGCGAACGGG
rnacentral:rRNA from 1 species